UACGGGGGGGGCAAGCGUUGUUCGGAAUUACUGGGCGUAAAGGGCGCGUAGGUGGCCAACUAAGUCAGACGUGAAAUCCCUCGGCUUAACCGGGGAACUGCGUCUGAUACUGGAUGGCUUGAGUUUGGGAGAGGGACGCGGAAUUCCAGGUGUAGCGGUGAAAUGCGUAGAUAUCUGGAGGAACACCGGUGGCGAAGGCGGCAUCCUGGACCAACACUGACGCUGAGGAGCGAAAGCCAGGGGAGCAAACGGG
rnacentral:rRNA from 1 species